rnacentral:rRNA from 1 species
CUACGGGUGGCAGCAGUGAGGAAUAUUGCACAAUGGGGGGAACCCUGAUGCAGCAACGCCGCGUGGAGGAUGACGCAUUUCGGUGUGUAAACUCCUUUUAUAUGUCAAGAAAAUGACGGUAGCAUAUGAAUAAGCACCGGCUAACUCCGUGCCAGCAGCCGCGGUAAUACGGAGGGUGCAAGCGUUACUCGGAAUCACUGGGCGUAAAGGACGCGUAGGCGGGUUGGAAAGUCAGGUGUGGAAUCCUACAGCUUAACGGUAGAACUGCACUUGAAACUUCUAAUCUAGAGUAUGGGAGGGGGAGAUGGAAUUAGUGGUGUAGGGGUAAAAUCCGUAGAUAUCACUAGGAAUACCUAAAGCGAAGGCGAUCUCCUGGAACAUUACUGACGCUAAGGCGUGAAAGCGUGGGGAGCAAACAGGAUUAGAUACCCGCGUAGUC